UGUAUCCUGCUGUGCUCGUGAUGAGGCGCAAACCCGUCUUGAGCCAACAGUCUUUGUUCGGGAUGUAAGCUAUUUCUGUAAGGUGAUAGACCUGCGUCGGUCAAGACCCGAAGGAAGUAAUACCUCCCACCUGCGAGAGCAGGUUCAAGACAGCGCACGCACGGCACAGCGGGGAUUUU
rnacentral:other from 1 species